GAAAUACUCCCUCGGUCCCAAAAUUCUUGUCUUAGAUUUAUUUAGAUAUGAAUGUAUCUAGUCACAUUUUAGUAGUUAGAUACAUCCAUUUCUAAACAAACCUAAGACAAGAAUUUUGGGACGGAGGGAGUACUUG
rnacentral:pre_miRNA from 1 species